rnacentral:rRNA from 1 species
AUUCCAGCUCCAGUAGCGUAUAUUAAAGUUGUUGCAGUUAAAAAGCUCGUAGUUGGAUUUCUGGCGUGGUGCGCCCGGCCCGAUACCGCUAAGGUGUCGAGUGCCGGCGCGCGCCUGCCAUCCUUCCGGAGAGCGUGCCUACCCUUCACUGGGCCGGGUACGCGAUCUGGAUCGUUUACUUUGAAAAAAUUAGAGUGUUUAAAGCAGGCUUACGCUUCUUAAUACAUUAGCAUGGAAUAAUAAGAUAGGACUUUGGUUCUAUUUUGUUGGUUUCUAGAACUAAAGUAAUGAUUGAUAGGGACAGUUGGGGGUGCUAGUAUUUAACGGCCAGAGGUGAAAUUCUUGGAUUCGUUAAAGACUAACUAAUGCGAAAGCAUUCACCAAGGAUGUCUUCAUCG